rnacentral:rRNA from 1 species
GACAGAGGGUGCAAACGUUGUUCGGAAUUACUGGGCGUAAAGCGCGUGUAGGUGGCGAGGCAAGUCGGGUGUGAAAGCCCUGGGCUCAACCCAGGAAGUGCACUCGAUACUGCCUAGCUAGAGUCCCGGAGAGGUUGGUGGAACUCUCGGUGUAGAGGUGAAAUUCGUAGAUAUCGAGAAGAACACCGGUGGCGAAGGCGGCCAACUGGACGGUGACUGACACUGAGACGCGAAAGCGUGGGGAGCAAACAGG